GAAGAACCCCCACGGCGCGGUAGGCGUCAAGGAACACCGUCCCUAACCGGGGGCGCGGAUGGCCCGGCGAGCCGUCGCCUUUCGCCCCUCGUGUGGAUACGUCGUAACCAACAUGACUCUCGGCAACGGAUAUCUCGGCUCUCGCAUCGAUGAAGAACGUAGCGA
rnacentral:rRNA from 1 species